CCUGGUGGCCAUUGCGAGGGGGUCACACCCGAUACCAUCCCGAACUCGGAAGUUAAGUCCCUCAGCGCCGAUGAUACUGCAUCUUAAGGUGUGGGAAAGUAGGUCACCGCCAGGA
rnacentral:rRNA from 1 species